GACGGGAGCUUGCUCCCUUAGGUCAGCGGCGGACGGGUGAGUAACACGUGGGUAACCUGCCUGUAAGACUGGGAUAACUCCGGGAAACCGGGGCUAAUACCGGAUGCUUGAUUGAGCCGCAUGGUUCAAUUAUAAAAGGUGGCUUUCAGCUACCACUUACAGAUGGACCCGCGGCGCAUUAGCUAGUUGGUGAGGUAACGGCUCACCAAGGCGACGAUGCGUAGCCGACCUGAGAGGGUGAUCGGCCACACUGGGACUGAGACACGGCCCAGACUCCUACGGGAGGCAGCAGUAGGGAAUCUUCCGCAAUGGACGAAAGUCUGACGGAGCAACGCCGCGUGAGUGAUGAAGGUUUUCGGAUCGUAAAACUCUGUUGUUAGGGAAGAACAAGUACCGUUCGAAUAGGGCGGCACCUCGACGGUACCUAACCAGAAAGCCACGGCUAACUACGUGCCAGCAGCCGCGGUAAUACGUAGGUGGCAAGCGUUGUCCGGAAUUAUUGGGCGUAAAGCGCGCGCAGGCGGUUUCUUAAGUCUGAUGUGAAAGC
rnacentral:rRNA from 1 species